GAUGAACGCUGGCGGCGUGCUUAAUACAUGCAAGUCGAACGGAAAGGCCUCUUUCGUGGGGUACUCGUGUUGCGAACGGGUGAGUAACUCGUGAGUAGCUUGCCUUUCUCUUUGGGUUAACUUCAUGCAACUGGGGCUAAUACCUACUAGGUGCUCUUUUUGCCUGGUUGGGUUUGGAAAGUUUCGGCGGUUGGGGGUCGAUUCGCGGGUUAUCCGCUUGUUGUUGGGGUAUUGGUUUACCAAGGCCUUGACGGGUAGCCGGCCUGUGAGGGUGAUCGACCACAUUGGGACUGAGAGAAGGCACAGACUGCUACGGGAGGCAGCAGUGGGGAAGAUUGCACAAUGGGUGGAAGCCUGAUGAAGCAACGCCGUGUGCGGGAUGACGGCCUUCGGGGUGUAAACCGCUUUCGCACAUGACGAAGCUUUGUGUGACGGUAGUGGAUAAAGAAGCACCGGCUAACUACGUG
rnacentral:rRNA from 1 species